rnacentral:rRNA from 1 species
AGCAGCCGCGGUAAUUCCAGCUCCAAUAGCGUAUAUUAAAGUUGUUGCAGUUAAAAAGCUCGUAGUUGAAUUUCGGGACCAAUAUGUCGGUCGUGCCUCGGUACGUACUGGCAUCGUUGGUUUCUCCCUUCUGACGAACCAUGAUGUCAUUUAUUUGGUGUCGUGGGGAAUCAGGACUGUUACUUUGAAAAAAUUAGAGUGUUUAAAGCAGGCUCACGCUUGAAUACAUUAGCAUGGAAUAAUGAAAUAGGACGUUUGAUUCUAUUUUGUUGGUUUCUAGGAUCGACGUAAUGAUUAAUAGGGAUAGUUGGGGGCAUUAGUAUUCAAUUGUCGGAGGUGAAAUUCUUGGAUUUAUUGAAGACUAACUACUGCGAAAGCAUUUGCCAAGGAUGUUUUCAUUAAUCAAGAACGAAAGUUAGGGGAUCGAAGACGAUCAGAUACCGUCGUAGUCUUAACCAUAAACUAUGCCGACUAGGGAUCGGAUGAUGUUAAUUUUUAAUGACUCAUUCGGCGCCUUAAC